GAUGAAGAACGUAGCGAAAUGCGAUAAGUAAUGUGGAUUGCAGAAUUCAGUGAAUCAUCGAAUCUUUGAACGCACAUUGCGCCCGCUAGUAUUCUGGCGGGCAUGCCUGUUCGAGCGUCAUUUCAACCAUCAAGCCCUGUUUAGGCUUGUGUUGGGGCCCUGCGGUUGCCGCAGCCCCCUAAAUGCAGUGGCGGGCUCGUUGUCACUCCGAGCGCAGUAGCGUAUCUCGCUCUGGGCGUGGCGGCGGGUGCUAGCCGUGAAACACCCACUAAGGUUGACCUCGGAUCAGGUAGGAAUACCCGCUGAACUUAAGCAUAUCAAUAAGCGGAGGA
rnacentral:misc_RNA from 1 species